ensembl:lncRNA
GUGAAAUUGAGCACCAUUUUCUGGUUCCGGGAGAUACCAAGGGUUGAUUGGAAGAGGGAGGUAGUUUGGUGGAUUUUGCCAAAAGUUAUCUUAUUGAUCUUCUCCUCAUGCCCGGGCCACACUGCCUGCGUCUCGGAUGCAGCCGCCAGCUGGAAGUGAGUCAUGUACAAACCUGGGCAGCAUCCCACACCCGGGGGAGAAGGCCAGCUUGGUGGGCGGACUGAUGCCGGCCAGGCCAAAGACUGCUGCAGCCACAGAACAUCUCUGUCACAUUCACCUGCUGCUCCUCAUUGGGAUUCUUUUUUCUUCUUUAAUCCAGUCUGGAACCAGGACUUGUAUGCGCAGUGUGUCUCUGACGGAAGGUUUAUGAUAUUGAACUUAAUACUGCAAGAAAAUAGAAAGUGGGGUUUUGUUACGAAUGAAUCAGAUUUAAAAUAAACCCUUAAUGUUUGCUUUAAUUUCACAAACACACUUGAAAAAGAGAAAUAAGAUACAUUUGCAUUGCAGACUGUUUGGGGCUAUGAACUACGGUUAUUUAGCGUUUAAUUUCCUUCAAGUUCGAAACAAAAGUGAGGUCAUAAAAGUCAAUGUUGGGAUUUGGUUACACACAAAACAGAUGUCUCCCC